ACAGAGCGAGACUCCGUCUCAAAAAAAAAAAAAAAAAAAGAGAAGACAGCAUCUGAUUUCUACAUUCAUUCAAUAACUGUCUAGUGUCCUGACUAUGAUGUAGGAGAAAUAAAGAUGAAUAUAACUCCCCCCUUGUUCUUGAAGACCCUAUAAUCUGGUGGGAGAAGCAGAAUAUAAACCAGAUUGAAAUAAAUACUGUGAUAAAACACACAGGUUAAGAAUGUGCAUGGGAAGAAGUGAUUAACACACUAGUGAAGUACAAAGGGUUUUAUGGAGGACUGAAUAUUUUAACUGCGGCUUGAAGAUUGAGUACAAUUUUGGUAGAGAAGGAAAGAGCAUAUAACUGAAGAAAAAACACAAAAGUAUAUUGUAUGACUUGGGAAAAUAAAGUAGUCUAGAGUGGCUCUGUUAAUAGGGUUUGUAAAGAGGUGUAGUGGUAUAUAAUGCAGGAAAAGUAGGUUAGGGCAAAAAGAAAACAGAUCAGUGCCUGAUAUGAAUUAUACACUGGGCCAAAAGUUUUCAUAUUUGCUAUUUCAUUUAAUUUCUAUAUAGCCAUGCAAAAUAGGUGUUUUGACAUGGGGGGAAAACAGUCUCAGAGAGUUUUACUAAUUUGUUCAAAGUCUCACAGAUAAUAAGUAAUGGAGCUGAAAUUUCAAACCAGGUUGUUAUUUAACUCCGAAGCUGAAGCUAUUUGUAAUUUGGUAACUAUCUCUAAAUUAAAAAAAAAAAAAAAAAAAAAAAAAGGAAAAAAGGUUAUAUUCAUUAUAGGACUUUAAAAAAUAUAAAGUACUUUCACACGUAUUUGGUCUUUAUAACUAGUCAUUAAUCCCAGUUGAUGGAUGGGAAAAUUGAAGCCCAGUGAGAUUAUUCAAGGUCAUGGAGUGAAUAAGUGGCAGAUUGGAAAUGCAACCCAAGCUUUCGGACUGCAAAGUUUUGAGCCUUUCCAACAUCCUUUUAAGAAGUCUGGAGAUCAUUUUUAAGCAGUGGAAAGAGUUAGUGAACAUUUUUGAGAAGGGGAUGACGUAAACAAUAAUGUUUAAAAAGAUUAGUUUGAGUUGGCAUAGAAGAUGGUCUGGAAUGCACAGAGACAAGAACGUUAAUUAUUAAGCUAUUGUAAAAACACAGUAAUGAUGUAGACCUGAACAAAGAAAGUUUGGUGAUAAACAUAGAAGAAACAAAUUAGAGGCAUUUGGAAACAGAAUUUACAGGAUUUAGCUUUUGACUGCAUCUACCGUGAGAUAGGAGGACCAUGCCUAAAUAAUAAUGGAGGUGGGGACAAUGAUAGCUAAGAAGAGGUAGAUUUGGAUGGAGAGAAAUAGCCAUCCAAAUGGAUGUGUCCUGUGAGAGCUGGACAGGGAGAUGUGGGAUCAUAUAGUAGGGCUAUGUAACAAGUCCCUCUAUAGUAGGGUUUGUUUAAGCUAAACUGUAAGUACACAGAGCCAGUGAAGGUCUGGUUUAUUUCUGCAUCCCCAGAGCCAGGACAGUUCUUGGCACUCAGUAAAUAUUUGUUAACUUUGAAACUGGAUGAAGAUCUUUAAAGAUGGUAGAAUUUUUUGAAAAAUGUUCAAAGACAGAAAGCAAAAAGAAGAAAAUAUUUGAGGAAAGAUUUGAUAGAAACCAAGAAGCAUUAUGUAAAGGAAGUUGUGGGGAGAGAGUUGCAAGAGUGUGAGCUGCCACAGAGAGGCAUUGUUGGAAGGGGAUCAAAGAUAGUGUUACUGAAGUAAAAGUUCAGGAAGAGAGAUCGGAAGUCAACUUGCAAAGAACUGAAGAGGAAUGAGGGGGAGAACUGGAACCAGGCAGCAGAGAGUACUUUUUCAAAAAGUUUGGUGGUAAAGGAAAAGGGAGCAAUGAGAAAACACCUUAAGGAAGAAGCAGGGUCAAGGAGGAAUUGCAAAGGCACGUGUAGCUCAAGGGAAAGGAGCCAGAGAAGAGAGGUAAAUUGAAAAUACAAGCAAAAUGAAGCUCAAGGAAAUGGAGGAGGAUGAGAUUGAAAAGACACAGAUGGAGUGAUCAGGAUUAGAUAUAUAGAUCUGAGCAUGUUUCACAGAAAGGACAAGUUGAAGCCAAAUUUUAGGUGAGUGAUUAUAGAGAAUGCUUGCAGAGGGAGAAGAGCAGAAGACUAAGGAAAUCUUUAGAGAAUGACCACAGGCAAGGGCAAAGGAGGGGUCAAAGAAACAGCAAGAGAAGUUGUGUAAAUUCACUGUCAGAAAAACAGAUACACAACCAACCAAGUUUGAGAAAAAGUAACAGGCCAAAGUGUCAAGUGUUGUAGAAGAGAAUGAGAACUGGGAAUAAAUGGUAUAUAUCCAGUGAUAUUUGUACAAGCAGUUCAUGAACAAAAAACUUAGAAUUCUUUUUUUGGUGUGUUCAGUUAAAGCUGAUACAUUCCCAUGCAACUAACUCAGAUUUUGAGGUGAAUAACAAAUCUCUUUAUCUAUAGAUGAUAAGUUUAAAUUGUGAUGCCAUUUUUCUUUCAAAUGGUGUGAAUGUUGAAUCUAAUUCAGUCCUGCUAAUUUUCUUUAAAAAGCAUUUGAAGCAGAUGGAACUAGAAAGCCUACUUCUGUAAAUUCCAUUUACUCAUUCAUGCAUUGCUUUCAUUCAAGAAAUGUUUAUUAGUGUCUACCAUAUACUUUGCUAGUUACUGGGGUUAUGAGGGGAUAUGGCAAUAAACAAGAAAGACAAUGUUUACUGCCUGAAAAAGUAAUACCGAAAGAAGAAAAACCUUUGCUAUAUUGUUGCUAAUAGAAAAAAAUUAAUUUAACUUUUAAAAACAAUUGAAACAGAUUAAUUACAGUAAAUCUAUUUGAAUAACUUACAUAGGCAUGAAAAUACUUAUGAAGAUUAUAUAUGAAUAUGGUAAUUUUCCUCUAAUAUUAAAACAAAAUACAACAUUGUUAUGAGAACAAUGUGAAAAUACAUAUGUACAUGGAGAAAGGCUCAAUAGAAAUGCAAACGUGUGUGCUAAAAUAAAGAAGUUAUUGGUGGUUUUACUUUUGAUUUUCCCUUAAAUUUUUUUAAAUUUUAAAUUAUUCUUUUUAAAAAUGUCUUCUACUAAUCUUAAAACAGUAAGUAAUGAGAAAUAUUAUUUCUACGGAUUUAUAAAUAUAUCCAUUCUUCACAUUCACAGUGGGAUUUGUAAAAAGCAAUCCUUGGAUUUAAAACCUUUUUUUUUUUUAGCAAACAAAGCUCUCAAGUUGGUGAUCCUCAGGUAAAAUCUAACCCACAGAUAUUGCACCAGUUAUUUAUUGCCACAAAAAUGCUGCCUAAGAAGCCACCCAAAGGGCAGUGGGUUAAAACAAUAACUAUACCUUUUUUCUUAGGAGUCUCUGCAUUAGUUGGACAGCUCCUCUGGAAUUAUCUUCUAAGUCAGCUGUGGGUUGGGUAGGUGGCUCUGCUGAUUUUUUGCUGGACUUCCACAUUUGGAACCAGUUGGCUUUCAUCAGCUCUAGAAAGGGUGUGGCUGUUUUACAUUGGCUGUUUUCCUCACAUUCCUCCAGCAGGUACUGUAAUAAAGAACUGGAGAAAUAAAGUCAGAUGGGAAGUUGCCCCUACUAUCAAGGAGCUUACCAUCUAAUGGGGGAGAUAGGCAAGUAAACCAAAGACUACACAGUACAGUAUGGUAAGUGCCAUGAUUUUGAUAUGACAGGCCCUAAGGGCACAGUGGAAGACCUUCCAAAUCAAAGCAAGUAAGUAUGGGUUGACAAUGGUAAGUAUCAUAGUGGAAGUAUUCUUGAACAAGGUUUCAGGAAGAAGAAGAAGGGAAUUUCAUGCAGGGAAACAACCAGAGCUCAGUGAGUCAAAAUAUCAUAGCAUUCUUGGUAAGCCCAAUUUUUUUUUUUUUUAUUUUGCUAUUUUGGU